AAAAGCAACAAUCUUUGAGCAAAUUCGAUAGAAUUUCAAAGAAUUUCAAGAAAAAAUGAGCUGCAUGCAUCUGAGCUCAUGGGUCCAAUUCCAGACCUGCUCAAUGUUGAAUCAAGCAGGCAGAUCCAGAUCUUCCCAAUCCUUCCACCUCCUCCACCCCCUCAAAACCACCAUACCCAUAUCCUCCGCCGCCCCACACCGCCGUCGACCCACCUCCCCUUUCGCCGUCUCCGCCGUCCUCACCAAGCAAGAGACCCUCACAGAGGAAUUCGACGAAGAGUCCCGGAAACCCACCUUCAAUUUCAAGUCCUACAUGCUCCAGAGGGCGGAAUCCGUCAACCAGGCCUUGGACGCCGCCGUCUCCCUCCGUGACCCGAUUACGAUCCACGAGGCGAUGCGGUAUUCGCUUCUGGCCGGCGGCAAGCGGGUCCGACCAGUCCUCUGCCUCGCCGCGUGCGAGCUCGUUGGUGGGUCGGAAUCCAUGGCCAUGCCGGCGGCCUGCGCCGUCGAGAUGAUCCAUACCAUGUCGCUGAUCCACGACGACUUGCCAUGUAUGGACAACGACGACCUCCGCCGCGGAAAACCCACCAACCAUAAGGUGUUCGGCGAGGACGUCGCGGUCCUGGCCGGCGACGCUCUCUUGGCCUUCGCAUUCGAGCACAUCUCCCUGUCUACCGUCGGCGUGUCGCCGGCCCGAAUCGUCAGGGCAGUCGGGGAAUUGGCCAAGUCAAUUGGGUCCGAAGGACUCGUGGCCGGGCAAGUGGUGGAUAUAGACUCAGAGGGGUUGUCCGAUGUGGGACUCGAACAGCUGGAAUACAUCCACCUCCACAAGACGGCGGCGCUGCUGGAGUGCUCGGUGGUUCUGGGGUCGAUUCUGGGAGGUGGGUCGGAUUCCGAAAUCGAAAAGCUGAGGACUUUCGCUCGGUAC
rnacentral:lncRNA from 1 species